rnacentral:tRNA from 1 species
GCCCGGGUGCUGGAACGGUAGACAGUGGGGCCUUAAAAGCCCUUGCCCCUCGGGGCGUGUGGGUUCGAGUCCCACCCCGGGCA